rnacentral:rRNA from 1 species
UCCGAACGACUCUGGGCAACGGAUAUCUCGGCUCUCGCAUCGAUGAAGAACGUAGCGAAAUGCGAUACUUGGUGUGAAUUGCAGAAUCCCGUGAACCAUCGAGUCUUUGAACGCAAGUUGCGCCCGAAGCCUUCUGGCCGAGGGCACGCCUGCCUGGGCGUCCCG